rnacentral:rRNA from 1 species
UACGGAGGGGGCUAGCGUUGUUCGGAAUUACUGGGCGUAAAGCGCGCGUAGGCGGAUCUGCAAGUCGGGGUGAAAUCCCGAGGCUCAACCUCGGAACUGCCUUCGAUACUGCGGGUCUCGGAGUCCGGGAGAGGUGAGUGGAAUUCCUAGUGUAGAGGUGAAAUUCGUAGAUAUUAGGAAGAACACCAGUGGCGAAGGGCGGCUCA